AAGAACUGAUGCAAGUUCACACAAGCAGUGCAUUUCAGAGUUGAAAUCAGAAGCUAUAUAGUUUAGAUCCAGAGAGUUGCUGCACUUAAGGAACACACUGAACAAGGGAAGUUCUAGAACUGGGCAGACCUGGACUUCUCUCCUUGGGCAUAUCACUUAAGUUCUCUGAAUCUUCUCUUACUCAUCUGUUAAAUGGCCAUAUUUCACAUGAGUGUAAAAUGGAGUAAAUUAGCACAGUGCUUCCUUUCCUCCGAAUCUGCCGUCAGCUCAGGCAGAUUUCUAAGCAGCAAAUCAGCCUUUGCCAGAACACUGCAGGACACCAGUGCAGCGCCCAGCCUGCGACCAUGAGCACAAAGAUCCCUUUGUACAGAGGCACUGAUUUGUCUUCUUCUGGAGUAGCAUCCCAGUUUCUCACUGUGGCCAACAAAGAGAAUAAAAAGAAAAAAAGGAUCUGAAAUAGCAACCCAGCGGCAGCCAC